rnacentral:rRNA from 1 species
GACGAACGCUGGCGGCGUGCUUAACACAUGCAAGUCGAACGGAAAGGCCCUGCUUUUGUGGGGUUCUCGAUUGGCGAACGGGUGAGUAACACGUGUGUAACCUGCCCUUGACUUUGUGAUAACUUCUGGAAACUGGGGCUAAUACCGGAUAGGAUCUCCUGCUGCAUUGUGGGGGUUGGAAAGUUUCGGCGGUUGGGGAUGGUCUCGCUGCUUAUCAGCUUGUUUGUGGGGUAGUGGCUUACCAAGGCUUUGACGGGUAGCAGGCAUGAGAGGGUGAACGGAGACAUGGGGACUGAGAGACGGAGCAGAAGGGAACGGGAGGCAGCAGGGGGAAAUAUUGCAGAAUGGGCGGAAGCGUGAGGAAGAAACGCAGGGAGCGGGAUGACGGGCAACGGGUUGAAAACAGAUGUGGAAGGUGACGAAGAGUGAGUGACGGUAAUGGGUAAAGAAGCAACGGCUAACUACGUG